CGAACGCUGGCGGCGUGCUUAACACAUGCAAGUCGAACGGAAAGGCCUGCUUUCCCUUGUGGAUUGCGGGUGCUCGAGUGGCGAACGGGUGAGUAACACGUGAGUGAUCUGCCCCCAACUUGGGUAUAAGCCUGGGAAACUGGGUCUAAUUCCCGAUAGGACUGCAGGGUGGUGCCUGUGGUGGAAAACGAUUUUCUAGUGGUUGGGGAUGAGCUCGCGGCCUAUCAGCUUGUUGGUGGGGUAAUGGCCUACCAAGGCGGCGACGGGUAGCCGGCCUGAGAGGGUGGACGGCCACAUUGGGGCUGAGAUACGGCCCAGACUCCUACGGGAGGCAGCAGUGGGGAAUAUUGCACAAUGGGCGGAAGCCUGAUGCAGCGACGCCGCGUGGGGGAUGACGGCCUUCGGGUUGUAAACUCCUUUCGACCGCGAGGAAGCCACCUGGUUGGAAGGGUGGUGACGGUAGUGGUAGAAGAAGCACCGGCUAACUACGUG
rnacentral:rRNA from 1 species